GGGAUGCUGGUCCCCUGGGAUCCUGUCUGGAUUUACAGAGGCUGUUUUUUUGAUCAAAAUAGAGGCCUUAAUGGCUUCCUGUUUAGACGUUAUUGCUUUACCAUGAGACCCAUGGGAGAUAGUGUAGCAAUUCUACCCUGCACCCUGAGGUGGAAGAGAUGAGGACACCAGAGUAUUACCUUCUGAGGGUUGGCUGCAUCCUGCCCUGCCUAGUGCUUCUCUGACAACCACAGCUACUCUCUCCAGGCUCUUCCCUCCCCUUUAAACUGAGGGGAGGUAAUGGCUCCUCUGUGUUGCCAGCCCCCGGAUGCUGCACCAACUCUUCUGGGUCUCCUUAACCCUGCUCACACCCUUGUAAAUGCUCCCUAUAAUAAACUCUCCUCGGUUAUCCCCGUUCAGGGCACCAUCUGUUUCCUUCCAGGACGAGCACUCAUAUAAGUCGACAAUGCAUCUGCAUUCUAGAAAAUAAUUCAGUGUUCCAGACAAGAAUAUUGUUGAUUUUUGAAGAAAUUUCCCAUACCUACACUAAAGGAACACCAAAUUUAUUACUGUAUCAGUGAGACAGCUGUUGUGACAGUAAAGUGAGACCCUUGUAGCAAAAGCACUUUUCGGACUCCAUGAUGUUAGGAAACUGCAAAACACCUUCUUCUGAGUCCAGAGACUGGAAAAUGAACUCUUGUGUGAUGAUGAACACUGUUACAGAGAAACAUUGAGCAGGCAAAGAGGACAUUGAGAAUUUCCAGGACGGUAACACUAAGAUGACGACAAAUUUUUCAUUGAAGUAGAAACUAAAAACAAGGAAAAUAUUUUAGAACUGAUCUGUCAUGUACAUGUCUGGCCAGGCCACCCCAUCUUUUUUGUGUGUGCAAUGAUUCUCUGCCGGAUAAAUAUUUGUUAAAUAUGUAAAUAAAUGUCUCCCUCCAUCUGAAAAGUAAGCACCACCAGGGUAGGCAUUUUAUGUUUUUUACUGAUGUAUCCCACACGCUGAGAACUAUACCUGACAC
rnacentral:lncRNA from 1 species